GACGAACGCUGGCGGCGUGCUUAACACAUGCAAGUCGAACGGAAAGGCCCUGCUUUUGUGGGGUGCUCGAGUGGCGAACGGGGGAGUAACACGUGAGUAACCUGCCCUUGACUUUGGGAUAACUUCAGGAAACUGGGGCUAAUACCGGAUAGGAGCUCCUGCUGCAUGGUGGGGGUUGGAAAGUUUCGGCGGUUGGGGAUGGACUCGCGGCUUAUCAGCUUGUUGGUGGGGUAGUGGCUUACCAAGGCUUUGACGGGUAGCCGGCCUGAGAGGGUGACCGGCCACAUUGGGACUGAGAGACGGACCAGACUCCUACGGGCGGCAGCAGUGGGGAAUAUUGCACAAUGGGCGGAAGCCUGAUGCAGCAACGCCGCGUGCGGGAUGACGGCCUUCGGGUUGUAAACCGAUUUCGCCUGUGACGAAGCGUGAGUGACGGUAAUGGGUAAAGAAGCACCGGCUAACUACGUG
rnacentral:rRNA from 1 species